CACAGGUAUGUGGGCGUCCAAAGGGCUGGGCUCUGUACUGGCUCUCAUCACCCAAGGGCAAGUUGAGAAGAGAUCCAGGAAGAUGCAGUUCAAUCUCAGGGAAUUCCAAAGAUGCUUGAAAUCUAUCACCUCUCCAUUCCUUGAAUUAUCUAUGAUGACUGGAGGUCCUAUAAUCACUGUCCACCACAUCACCACGAAGCUUAACUCUGCAUUGGAAACAUCUGUUUCACAAAAUGAGAAAAGUGAAGCAAUGGCUCAGUGUAUGGAAAGGAGCACUUGCUACUCUUCCAGAGGACUGGGUUACUGCAGGAGAUAACUGCGAAGAGAAGAAGGGAGGAUGCAGCAGUAGAGAACAGCAUGAGGACCCUGAAGAGCUUUAAAAACAGAACUUGGAACACACUACCCUGUAGCAUGAAUCUUAAAGGAUCUUAUUAAUGAAAUCAAACCUGAAGCCAGGUACUGUGGUGAAUGCCAGAAGAUCAGAGAAACAGAACAAGCCACAGCCACCUCACCUUGCCAAUUCCUCAACUGAUCCUGUUUCCUCAGACUGGAAGCCUCUGAGUCCUUAUCCAAAUGGAUCUCAGCUGAACUGCUUUUCGAAAGCCUGAAAGCUUAACCAGCCUAUAGUUCCUGGUCCUCACACCUUAAAUACCUUUCUGCCUCCUGCCAUUACUCCCUGGGAUCAAAGGCGUGAGUCACUAUGCCUGGCUGUUUCCAGUGUGGCCUUGAACUCACCAGAGAUCCAGGUGGAUCUCUGCCUCUGGAAUGCUAGGAUUAAAGGGGUGUGUUACCACUGCCUAACCUCUAUGUUUAAUAUUGUGCCUGUUCUGUUCUCUGAUCCCAGAUAAGUUUAUUAGAGUGCACAAUAUUUUGGGGAACACAAUACCACAAUACUACCUGUGAGCAGGCCUACACAUGUCAUCCUAGGGAGUUCUGCUCCAGGCUGGAGAGUCUUUUCCAGGUUCCCCCAGGGGAGACACUGAAGAAGUAGGGCCACUCUGUGCUUUGUUUGUGUCUAUGCUGGAAACUGAGCCUAGCACCUUUUAUGAAUGACACAAAUUCUUCUUCUAAAGCUCGACCCCUAACCCUCCUUUAAGUUUUUAAUUUUGAGAAGGGGUUUCAAAAAGUUAGUCAGGCCAGUUGAAAUUCACUGUUCCCUAAGUAGGUAGU